CUGGCUCACACACACCACAGAUGUAGGCUAGUUUACAAAUCUAUCUGUAACUCAUAGAGAAAUAUGGGCUACUAAUACUGUAGUUUCACUCCCAGCCAUAGGGGGCACUGUGGGACUGAGUCAAUUAAAGCCUAUGGUUAUCAGCAUUUUUACCCCCAUUUGCUAUUUCUUCUCCUCGUGAAUGCCAGCAGAAAUAAAACUUUGGAAAUUAUAAAACCAGCAGAAAGCAAAAACCCGAGGCAAUAAUGCCAAAGUACAAUUGAAACAAACAAUUGAAACUCCAUUGAGUGGAAGCACGUUUUUAUAAGAGCAAUAGCUUGCCGUGGUGGUGGAAUGAAAUUCCACUAGAUGUCUGAAUAGCGGUGUCCCUGGCUUCAAGACCUUCAUGAAAAACCUCCUCCUUAAACACUUAAACUAGCACUUUUCCAGGCCUCGUUUCCAUCAUUAUGCCGGCAAUCUUCGCUCUGCUGAAGAGCUGAACUUCUGCUGUCCACCACAGGAUGGUCUAGGAGGAGAUGUCAGAUGUCCUCAGAGAUAGGAGGCGAUCCUUCUGCAGGGACAGCAAA